rnacentral:rRNA from 1 species
AUGGUGAAGGAGACGGGCUACUACGACGUGCUCGGCGUGAUCCCCACAGCCAGCGAGUCGGAGAUCAAGAAGGCGUAUUACAUCAAGGCGAGGCAGGUACACCCAGACAAGAACCCUAAUGACCCGCAGGCCGCAGGGAAGUUCCAGGAACUAGGGGAGGCAUACCAAGUGCUUAGUGACCCCGCUCAGCGGCAAGCUUAUGAUGCACAUGGGAAAUCUGGCAUCUCAACGGAUGGAAUAAUUGAUCCAGCAGCAAUUUUCGCGAUGCUAUUCGGUAGUGAGCUUUUUGAGGAUUAUAUUGGUCAAUUGGCAAUGGCGUCAAUGGCUUCACUUGAUAAUUUUGACGAAGAUGAACAGAUCGACACAAAAAAGUUGCAAGACAAAAUGCAGGCUGUUCAAAAAGAAAGAGAGGAGAAACUUGCAGAGAUACUUAAAAACCGUCUGCACCUUUAUGUUCAAGGAAAUAAAGAGGAAUUCGUUCGGCUUGCUGAGGCCGAGGUGUCCAGACUUAGUGAUGCAGCAUAUGGACUUGUUAUGCUGAACACUAUUGGCUAUGUAUAUUCAAGACAAGCUGCAAAAGAACUUGGAAAGAAGGCAAUAUAUUUGGGGGUUCCGUUUGUAGCAGAAUGGUUCAGAGACAAAGGCCAUUUUAUCAAAUCCCAAGUAACAGCUGCAGCAGGUGCAAUAGCUCUUAUGCAGCUGCAAGAAGACUUGAAGAAGCAGAUGGGUGCUGAGGGCCAGACCACAGAGGAAGAACUUGAAGUGUACAUGCAGAACCACAAAAAAGUUAUGGUUGAUUCCUUGUGGAAGCUUAAUGUUGCUGACAUAGAAGCCACCAUAUCACAUGUCUGCCAGAUGGUGCUUCAGGACCCCUUGGCCAGGAAGGAUGACCUGCGUCUUCGUGCCAAAGGACUGAAAACUUUAGGGAAAAUUUUCCAGGGUGUUAAGCUCAACAGUGGUGAGGGGGAAGGGUCGCACAUGAAGAAUAUAGAUAACAUGGAUGACAAUGCCGGUAGCUCCCCUGAUUCGUCACCAAAACGGGAGCCAUCAUUCAAUCCCAUUCCUAACCCUCCUCUUACCCAGAGUCCAUAUGUGGAGGCUCCCCAGUUUGGCGGAACCUAUUGUUCGUUCAACUUCCCAAUGCCGACGGCUCCACCAGGUGCGCAGAGGGAUCCGGUGCCUUGA